rnacentral:rRNA from 1 species
GACGAANUCUGAUGAGCANGNCGCNUGNNUGANGAAGGGUUUNGNUCGUNAANUCNGUUGUUAAAGAANACAUAUCUGAGAGUACUNUCAGGUAUUGACGGUAUUUAACCAGAAANCNACGGCUAACUACGUGCCAGCAGCCGCGGUAAUACGUAGGUGGCAAGCGUUGUCCGGGAUUUAUUGGGCGUAAAGCGAGCGCAGGCGGUUUUUUAAGUCUGAUGUGAAAGCUUUCGGCUCAACCGAAGAAGUGCAUCGGAAACUGGGAAACUUGAGUGCAGAAGAGGACAGUGGAACUCCAUGUGUAGCGGUGAAAUGCGUAGAUAUAUGGAAGAACACCAGUGGCGAAGGCGGCUGUCUGGUCUGUAACUGACGCUGAGGCUCGAAAGUAUGGGUAGCAAACAGGAUUAGAUACCCUGGUAGUCCAUACCGUAAACGAUGAAUGCUAAGUGUUGGAGGGUUUCCGCCCUUCAGUGCUGCAGCUAACGCAUUAAGCAUUCCGCCUGGGGAGUACGGCCGCAAGGCUGAAACUCAAAGGAAUUGACGGGGGCCCGCACAAGCGGUGGAGCAUGUGGUUUAAUUCGAAGCUACGCGAAGAACCUUACCAGGUCUUGACAUACUAUGCAAAUCUAAGAGAUUAGACGUUCCCUUCGGGGACAUGGAUACAGGUGGUGCAUGGUUGUCGUCAGCUCGUGUC